rnacentral:rRNA from 1 species
CCUACGGGUGGCAGCAGUGAGGAAUAUUGGUCAAUGGACGGAAGUCUGAACCAGCCAUGCCGCGUGCAGGAAGACGGCUCUAUGAGUUUUAAACUGCUUUUGUACAAGGGUAAACCUGAAUACGUGUAUUCAGCUGAAAUUACUGUACGAAUAAGGAUCGGCUAACUCCGUGCCAUCAGCCGCGGUAAUACGGUGGAUCCAAGCGUUAUCCGGAUUUAUUUGGUUUAAAGGGUGCGUAGGCGGAUUGGUAAGUUAGAUGUGAAAUGUCCGAGCUUAACUCGGGAACUGCCUCUAAUACUGGUGAUCUAGAGAGUAGAUGCGGUAGGCGGAAUGUAUGGUGUAGCGGUGAAAUGCUUAGAGAUCAUACAGAACACCGAUUGCGAAGGCAGCUUACCAAUCUAUAUCUGACGUUGAGGCACGAAAGCGUGGGGAGCAAACAGGAUUAGAUACCCCAGUAGUC